rnacentral:rRNA from 1 species
GUUUGGUGUCAUAUUGUGGGGGAUUAGGUUUGAGUGUCAGCCUGUGAUCCCUAGUUGAUUUGAGAGAAGCAUCAACCACACGGGGUAUGAAAACGACCCCGCCCCUGGCAGCAGUGGGGAAUUUUGGGCAAUGUGCGAAAGCAUGACCCAGCGAAUUAGCGUAGGGGAUGAAGGCUACAGCAGCUGUAAACCCAGCCCGCAUACUAAAACGAUGAUAUUAUGUGUGAAAAGAAGUCAUGGCUAAUACAUGUGCCAGCAGCCGCGGUAAUACAUGAGUGACUAGCGUUAUUCGCCGUGCUUGGGCGUAUAGGAUGCGUAGGCGGUUAUAGUUUUGUUAACUACUAGAUCCAUUGGUGAAAUUUUAACGAUAACUAUAUACUAGAGUUGGCAGGAAGUUAUUCAAUUCCGUUAAGAAGCGAUGAAAUGCUACUAUUUACCGGGGUUGGCCUAUAUUUGAAAAAAAAUAGCUACUGCCCACUGACGCUGAGGCAUGAAAGUGGGGGAAAU